rnacentral:rRNA from 1 species
AGUAAAUAGAUACCCGGGUAGUCCACGCCGUAAACGAUGAGUACUAGGUGUAGGAGGUAUCGACUCCUUCUGUGCCGCAGUUAAACACAAUAAGUACUCCGCCUGGGAAGUACGGUCGCAAGAUUAAAACUCAAAGGAAUUGACGGGGGCCCGCACAAGCAGCGGAGCAUGUGGUUUAAAUUCGAAGCAACGCGAAGAACCUUACCUAGACUUGACAUCUCCUGAAUAGUGUAGAGAUACAUGAAGCCCUUCGGGGCGAGGAAGACAGGUGGUGCAUGGUUGUCGUCAGCUCGUGUCGUGAGAUG